GAUGAACGCUGGCGGCGUGCCUAAUACAUGCAAGUCGAGCGAAGCGGGGACGGGUGAGUAACACGUGGAUAACCUCCUAUAAGGCUGGGAUCACUUCGGGAAACCGGAGCUAUACCGGAUACUUUUAGAUGGAUCCGCGCUGCAUUAGCUAGUUGGUAAGGUAACGGCUUACCAAAGCAACGAUGCAUAGCCGACCAUAGCGGGUGAUCGGCCACACUGGAACUUAGACACGGUCCAGACUCCUACGGGAGGCAGCAGUAGGGAAUCUGCCGCAAUGGGCGAAAGCCUGACGGAGCAACGCCGCGUGAGUGAAGAAGGUCUUCGGAUCGUAAAACACUGUUAUUAGGGAAGCGGUACCUAAUCAGAAAGCCACGGCUAACUACGUGCCAGCAGCCGCGGUAAUUC
rnacentral:rRNA from 1 species